CAAAGGCAGAAGGAUGGUAAGGAAUGUGCUAUCCAAAAUGAUGAAAUGGAGACGGGCUGGUGCAUCCGGAAUGAUGUAUGACUUUGAAAUAUACACUGGAAAGCCAAUGAAACUGGAAGGAGAUCUUGGUAUCUCUAGCAAUAUUGUACUCAGACUUACCAAAAAUUUGGCAGAUCACAAAGAUUACAAGAUGUAUUUCGAAAACUGGUUUGCAUCAGUGCAGUUGGUAGAAAUUUUAAAAGAAAGAGGCAUAUGGGCAUAAAAUUGUUAUAGUUGUAAACAUUUCUUACUUGUAGUAUUGCUAUUUUGUACAUAUUUUUGUCUUUUACUUGGAGUAAAUGGGAGCCUCACUGAUCAAUUGUAUUUUUAGUUAAUUUUAUGGAUUUUAAUACAGGUAAAAUAAUUAUAACACUUCAAUUUCAAUCAAUAAACAUGAGUAUUAAGUAUAGAGCUAUGUCACUAUACUCCCAAUGUUGCCAUUUGGCAACAAAAUUUUAAUUCCAUGAAAAUAUAAAUUUUUAGACUAGCAAUGAAA